AAAAUGGAGAGUUUGAUCCUGGCUCAGGAUGAACGCUGGCGGUAUGCUUAACACAUGCAAGUCGAACGGUCUCUUCGGAGAUAGUGGCGGACGGGUGAGUAACGCGUGAGAAUCUGUCUUCAGGUCGGGGACAACCACUGGAAACGGUGGCUAAUACCGGAUGUGCCGAAAGGUGAAAGGCU
rnacentral:rRNA from 1 species